CACGGGUGAGUAACACGUAUCCAACCUGCCGUCUACUCUUGGACAGCCUUCUGAAAGGAAGAUUAAUACAAGAUGGCAUCAUGAGUUCACAUGUUCACAUGAUUAAAGGUAUUCCGGUAGACGAUGGGGAUGCGUUCCAUUAGAUAGUAGGCGGGGUAACGGCCCACCUAGUCUUCGAUGGAUAGGGGUUCUGAGAGGAAGGUCCCCCACAUUGGAACUGAGGCACGGUCCAA
rnacentral:rRNA from 1 species